GAGAAGUUGAGAGAACUGGCCAUUAAGAGAGGAAAAGAAAGAAGAAAUUGCUUUGAUAGCUCCACCCGAGAGGAAGAAAAGAGAAAGAAAAGAGAAGAAAAAAGAGGAAAUGGAGGAAGGCUCAGGUUUGAGAGGAUUUAAGAGAAACCGUGGGCUUCUUACUACUUUCCUAUUGAGCCUUGAUUCUUAUUUACCAUUCAAAGUGUAGAUUGGGAGCUUGAAGGAGAUGUGUGGCUUGGUUUCAAGAUCCAAGUAAGGAAAGCAAGAUCUUCAAAGAAUCAAUGGGCUGGAUGCAUGCAUGUUGAUUAUGCACAGGUGUAUGGUGAUUUGAGACAAAGAAAUGAUGGAAAUGGUGAACAAUGUUAUGAAGAGAUAUUGAAUUGCAUGUAGAGUGCAAAGUGAUUUGGAAGGUUAAUAUCAUCGAGACUGCCAUGGUUGUGGGAAUCCGGUGGAUGGGGGCUUCCCGAAUUGUUAUUACGUGGAAGAAGGUCUACGGGUUGAUUAUCUAUGAUUACCUACUUGAGAGCCUUGAGGCUUUUUAGACUCGUACUCUUUUGCAUGGUGGAGAGAUAAUGUUUUUCCAUGGCUCUCCUAUUUAGUUGAAAGUUUUAGUGCUUUAUGUUGAUCAUGAGUUGAUAUAUGUGGAUAAACACGAUUAUUUUUACAUGCCACACAUUUUGGAAGUGUGCGUGCUUUUGUACAGCUAUUGGUAUUUUUGAAGGAAUUAUAUGAUUUCGAUGAUUGAAAUUUUAUUUUAUUACGCUUUGAGCUUUUUGAGCUAUUACAGCUUUUGUUUGCAAAAACCAGGCUGAAGUGGUUCAGAUUUUUGAAGGCUGAUUUGGUGGUUUAACAAAGGAUUCAUCAACCUUUGUUAUUUAGAGGAAGCACAAGAAAAAGGAGACUAUAAGGAACCGUUUUCGAGGCUGUCCUGCAAGGCAGCACACAGACAGUUUUAGAUGCAGAAUUUUGCUUCUAUUUGUGCUUAAUUUCCAGCAAAAAAUAUAUUUAAUUGUUACACAUUUAUUGUUGGAUAUGUGGACAGCAAAAUCAUGACAUGAUCAUGAUUAAAUAGGCUGAUUUUAAGCAAGAAAUUG